ACGUAGGGGGCGAGCGUUGUCCGGAGUUACUGGGCGUAAAGGGCGCGCAGGCGGUCUGGUAAGUUUGGAGUGACAGUGCUCGGCUUAACUGAGCAAGGCCUUCAAAAACUGCUGGACUUGAGGACUCAAGAGGGACAUAGAAUUCCGGGUGGAGUGGUGGAAUGCGUAGAGAUCCGGAAGAACACCGGUGGCGAAGGCGGCCCGCUGGGCAGGAAGGGAGAGCAAUCUCCCGGCUGACGCUGAGGCGCGACAGCGUGGGGAGCAAACAGGA
rnacentral:rRNA from 1 species